CAGCCAGACUCCUACGGGAGGCAGCAGUGAGGAAUAUUGGUCAAUGGGCGAGAGCCUGAACCAGCCAAGUCGCGUGAGGGAAGACGGUCCUAUGGAUUGUAAACCUCUUUUGUCAGGGAGCAACGCCGGCUACGUGUAGCCGGACUGAGAGUACCUGAAGAAAAAGCAUCGGCUAACUCCGUGCCAGCAGCCGCGGUAAUACGGAGGAUGCGAGCGUUAUCCGGAUUUAUUGGGUUUAAAGGGUGCGCAGGCGGAUUUUUAAGUCAGCGGUCAAAUCGUGGGGCUCAACCCCAUCCAGCCGUUGAAACUGGGGAUCUAGAGUGUGCGAGAGGUAUGCGGAAUGCGUGGUGUAGCGGUGAAAUGCAUAGAUAUCGCGCAGAACCCCGAUUGCGAAGGCAGCGUACCGGCUCCACACUGACGCUGAGGCACGAAAGCGUGGGUAUCGAACAGGAUUAGAUACCCCCGUAA
rnacentral:rRNA from 1 species